rnacentral:rRNA from 1 species
UACGGAGGGAGCUAGCGUUGUUCGGAAUUACUGGGCGUAAAGCGCGCGUAGGCGGCUUUGUAAGUUAGAGGUGAAAGCCCGGAGCUCAACUCCGGAACUGCCUUUAAAACUGCAUCGCUUGAAUCCAGGAGAGGUGAGUGGAAUUCCGAGUGUAGAGGUGAAAUUCGUAGAUAUUCGGAAGAACACCAGUGGCGAAGGCGGCUCACUGAACUGGUAUUGACGCUGAGGUGCGAAAGCGUGGGGAGCAAACAGG